GAUGAACGCUGGCGGCGUGCCUAAUACAUGCAAGUCGAGCGAACGGACGAGAAGCUUGCUUCUCUGAUGUUAGCGGCGGACGGGUGAGUAACACGUGGAUAACCUACCUAUAAGACUGGGAUAACUUCGGGAAACCGUAGCUAAUACCGGAUAAUAUUUUGAACCGCAUGGUUCAAAAGUGAAAGACGGUCUUGCUGUCACUUAUAGAUGGAUCCGCGCUGCAUUAGCUAGUUGGUAAGGUAACGGCUUACCAAGGCAACGAUGCAUAGCCGAUCUGAGAGGGUGAUCGGCCACACUGGAACUGAGACACGGUCCAGACUCCUACGGGAGGCAGCAGUAGGGAAUCUUCCGCAAUGGGCGAAAGCCUGACGGAGCAACGCCGCGUGAGUGAUGAAGGUCUUCGGAUCGUAAAACUCUGUUAUUAGGGAAGAACAUAUGUGUAAGUAACUGUGCACAUCUUGACGGUACCUAAUCAGAAAGCCACGGCUAACUACGUG
rnacentral:rRNA from 1 species